rnacentral:rRNA from 1 species
CGGGUGAGUAACACGUGGAUAACCUACCUAUAAGACUGGGAUAACUUCGGGAAACCGGAGCUAAUACCGGAUAAUAUAUUGAACCGCAUGGUUCAAUAGUGAAAGACGGUUUUGCUGUCACUUAUAGAUGGAUCCGCGCCGCAUUAGCUAGUUGGUAAGGUAACGGCUUACCAAGGCAGCGAUGCGUAGCCGACCUGAGAGGGUGAUCGGCCACACUGGAACUGAGACACGGUCCAGACUCCUACGGGAGGCAGCAGUG